UACUAAUAAGACUGGAUAACUUCGGGAAACCGGAGCUAAUACCGGAUAAUAUAUUGAACCGCAUGGUUCAAUAGUGAAAGACGGUUUUGCUGUCACUUAUAGAUGGAUCCGCGCCGCAUUAGCUAGUUGGUAAGGUAACGGCUUACCAAGGCAACGAUGCGUAGCCGACCUGAGAGGGUGAUCGGCCACACUGGAACUGAGACACGGUCCAGACUCCUACGGGAGGCAGCAGCG
rnacentral:rRNA from 1 species